rfam:Ovis aries breed Texel chromosome 1, whole genome shotgun sequence.
AUCACCUUGGGAUCUUGUUAAAAUGCAAACUCUGGAUCAGCAGGCCUAGGGUGGAGAUCAAGAUUUUGUAUUUCUAACAAGACCUCUACGGGAUGCUAA